GUCAGUGGCGAUAACGCGUUGAAGACACUAGUGUUCCAAACGAUCGCUGGAGUUAAGCAACGCUGCGCGUCGUUGGUAUCUCGAUCGGUGAUCAUCUGGGUAAUCGCGUUGUGCUGUUGGCU
rfam:Asian citrus Psyllid, Diaphorina citri - Florida Strain, whole genome shotgun sequence.